AAACGAAAUGCAAUUAUUUUCGGAACAACUUUCGUCUGGUGAAUGGAGAAAUUAAAAUUCUUCUUGUUCUUCUUGGAUACUCGCGAGUCGCGACUUUCCUCUGUUCCACAGCUAGAAGUGUCAUUAAACGAGAUGUUUUCAAAACAACCCAAUAGAUGCAUUAGUUAUAACACUUUAUAAAUAGUAAUGUGAGUUGUUGUCAGCUUGUCGCUUUAUUUGACCAAAUGCGACUUUUUUAGUUAUUUUGCAGGCUCUACUUCAGCUAUACCCAUUUCGGUUGUUACUACGAGAAAAUGAGAUCGCAUCUUGUAUCAGUCUCGCCAAUCUUUAAGUCAUCAUCGUGAAGUUGUACAUCUGUACAGCAAAUAAGAUGUCUCUUUGCACAUCCAUUAAUACUGCAAAAGAAUUCUUUUUUGAUUAAAGAAGAAGUCCAAUAUCGGCAGCAAUCUGCAGAAUAAUCCAACUCGUCGCAGUAAGUGAUGAUUUGAUUUUCCUUAUGGCGAAGUUUUGAAGUAAAAGGACGAAGGCGGUAAAUUUUUUUCUACUUUUUUAUUAAUUUGUUGGACAUUUUUUGAUUUUUAUGAUUCCAAGCAUUUUCUAAUCAGUGGUUGUGAAGUUGCCACUUGUAAUUUUGUCAAUAGGUGAGGUUCGAAUUCGUCCACCAGGGGGUGUGGUCUUCGGUAGCCAAAUCAAUUCACGUGACGUCAUUCGUUUCUGGACGCUGAUGCUGUAUGGUGUAUUAUGAUUUGUAUUCGAUUACUUCGGGUUUCCAACAUUUUCCACCAUGAAUAUAGAAAGUCCCACUCCCAGUGUGUCAUCUGACCAUGUGGCCUGAAAUUGCUGUCCGUGUGCCGGAAUGUCGUCUCGUACCAGAAACUUAAUUUCAAUGGUAAUUAUUUUUAUAUUUGUUUUCCAAAAUUAAGAUGUUGUAGUAGUCUAAAUCACUAUAUUCCUUAUUUGGAUAUUUCAUUACAUUUUCAUAUUGUUUCAUCUCCACUUGAUUUUUAAAACAAGUGUUGAUUUUUUUCAGCUGCAUAAUUA